AGUGGAAAAGCUGGGUCAAAUGGUGAUUCCAUUCCAAGAUUUCUAAGGAAUCUCCAUACUGCUUUCCAGAUUGGUUGCACCAAUUUGCAGUCCCACCAGCAAU
rnacentral:pre_miRNA from 1 species